AGAGUUUGAUCCUGGCUCAGGAUGAACGCUAGCGGCAGGCUUAACACAUGCAAGUCGAGGGGCAGCGCGGGAUAGCAAUAUCCUGGCGGCGACCGGCGGAAGGGUGCGUAACGCGUGAGCGACAUGCCCGUUGCCCGGGGACAACCGGUGGAAACGCCGACUAAUCCCCGAUGGGAUAUUGUGCCGCAUGGCACGAUAUUGAAAGUUACGGCGGCGACGGAUUGGCUCGCGUCCGAUUAGCUUGUUGGCGGGGUAACGGCCCACCAAGGCUGCGAUCGGUAGGGGUUCUGAGAGGAAGGCCCCCCACAAUGGGACUGAGACACGGCCCAUACUCCUACGGGAGGCAGCAGUGAGGAAUAUUGGUCAAUGGGCGGAAGCCUGAACCAGCCAUGCCGCGUGCGGGAAGGAGGCCCUAUGGGCUGUGAACCGCUUUUGCCUGGGGGCAAUAAGGGCGUCGCGCACGUCCGAUGAGAGUACCAGGCGAAUAAGCAUCGGCUAACUCCGUGCCAGCAGCCGCGGUAAUACGGGGGAUGCGAGCGUUAUCCGGAUUCAUUGGGUUUAAAGGGUGCGUAGGCUGUGCGUCAAGUCGGGGGUGAAAUUCCGGUGCUCAACACCGGGGCUGCCCUUGAUACUGUCGCGCUGGAGUGCGGAUGCCGCCGGAGGAAUGAGUGGUGUAGCGGUGAAAUGCUUAGAUAUCACUCAGAACACCGAUUGCGAAGGCAUCUGGCGAAUCCGUAACUGACGCUGAGGCACGAAAGCGUGGGGAUAGAACAGGAUUAGAUACCCUGGUAUUCCACGCCGUAAACGAUGAUGGCUAACCGCCGGCGACACACUGUCGGUGGCCAAGCGAAAGCGAUAAGCCAUCCACCUGGGGAGUACGUCGGCAACGAUGAAACUCAAAGGAAUUGACGGGGGCCCGCACAAGCGGAGGAACAUGUGGUUUAAUUCGAUGAUACGCGAGGA
rnacentral:rRNA from 1 species